rnacentral:rRNA from 1 species
UGACCGCUGGCGGCGUGCUUACCACAUGCACGUCGAACGAUGAAGCCCAGCUUGCUGGGUGGAUUAGUGGCGAACGGGUGAGUAACACGUGAGUAACCUGCCCUUAACUCUGGGAUAAGCCUGGGAAACUGGGUCUAAUACCGGAUAGGAGCGUCCACCGCAUGGCGGGUGUUGGAAAGAUUUAUCGGUUUUGGAUGGACUCGCGGCCUAUCAGCUUGUUGGUGAGGUAAUGGCUCACCAAGGCGACGACGGGUAGCCGGCCUGAGAGGGUGACCGGCCACACUGGGACUGAGACACGGCCCAGACUCCUACGGGAGGCAGCAGUGGGGAAUAUUGCACAAUGGGCGCAAGCCUGAUGCAGCGACGCCGCGUGAGGGAUGACGGCCUUCGGGUUGUAAACCUCUUUCAGUAGGGAAGAAGCGAAAGUGACGGUACCUGCAGAAGAAGCACCGGCUAACUACGUG